rfam:Triticum aestivum genome assembly, contig: Triticum_aestivum_CS42_TGACv1_scaffold_499353_6BL
CAAAUACUCCCUCCGUCCGGGAAUACUUGUCAUCAAAAUGGAUAAAAGGAAAUGUAUCUAGACGUAUUUUAGUUUUAGAUACAUCUCUUUUUAUCCAUUUUGAUGACAAGUAUUUUCAGACGGAGGGGGUAUUUA